rnacentral:rRNA from 1 species
UACGAAGGGUGCAAGCGUUACUCGGAAUUACUGGGCGUAAAGCGUGCGUAGGUGGUUUGUUAAGUCUGUUGUGAAAGCCCCCGGGCUCAACCUGGGAAUGGCAAUGGAUACUGGCAAGCUAGAGUGCGGUAGAGGGUAGUGGAAUUCCCGGUGUAGCGGUGAAAUGCGUAGAGAUCGGGAGGAACACCAGUGGCGAAGGCGGCUACCUGGACCAGCACUGACACUGGAGGCACGAAGCCAGGGGAGCGAAACGGG